GCUAUUAUGUUAGUUGUAGCGCGCCUUCCCUCCUUCUCUCACUUCGGAAAGAUUUUGCAGUAUUUUCUUAUGAUGACCUGGUCGAGGGAGUACGAUACAUCGGUGUAAAAGAUUGAGUGGGAUCUGUGAAGUUGGUUAUAGUAAGGCCUGACCGGUUGGGAAAGCGAUAUGGACAGGUCAACCCUGGUCGAUGUCCCGUGUUAACGGUAGCAUCGAUAUCUCGGGUUAGUCACCGAGACGCCCCCCCAUGGUGGGACAAGUUCCCCAUAAUUUAGGAG
rnacentral:misc_RNA from 1 species